AUUUAGCAGGUCCCUUUUAGUGGAAAGAAAGCCUCAGUUGAAAAGGAAGAAGCCAAUGUAAAAAUGUGAAAUCAAAGCUCUUCUGAUAUGGUUGAAAACAAGUAACACACUAUAAAAAGCUGCAAGCUUGAGUUAUACACAUGUGACCUUGGAAAUACCAUUGGCUCAUCUACUAUUCAUGAUGAAAAAAUUGAGGCUCAAAGAAGUCCACCAAAUUGAGAGUGAAGUAGGGGAAACAGCAUUUAACGCUUACAUUCUAAUGAUUUGUGUAAGAGCAGCAGGACAAGCUAUACAAAGAAAAAGGUGGAAUUAUCAGGAUGGAAUUAAAGAUGCUUCCAAACAGAGGGGAUAUCUCAAGCCAUGACUCAGAGAGUUCUCCCCACAUUAUUAAUGGUAUGGGAAUUAGGAGAAGGUCAUCUGACUCACAUGGAUCACCAUAUAAUUCCUUCUGGAGAACAGAAAAAAUGCAGAAGAGGAAAACCUCCAUAUGUGAAGCUAUGGCAAGGGAGUCUCCCCACCCCGCGCUCCAACAGAGUCUGGAGAUAAACUGGAAAUUGCUUAUAGCCUCUCUCAGAAGGACUUGUCAGCACAAACAAUGCAGAUUGCAAAAUGAGAAAAUCUGAAACAAAAGCACAUGCUCAAAUCUCCCAGGAUAAUAAUUUUCAAGUACAUACUUCAUAACACUUUUUGAAAAAUAAGUGAGAUAAUGUGCAAGACAACCUUUAGCCCAUUGGACAAGGCAUGUCUCUGAGCUGUAGUUUCUUCAUGUCAGGCCUCUGAGCCUAAGCCAAGCCAUCGCAUCUUCUGUGACUUGCACGUAUGCAUCCAGAUGGCCUGAAGGAACUGAAGAUCUACAAAAGAAGUAAAAAUAGCCUUAACUGAUGACAUUCCACCAUAGUGAUUUGUUCCUGCACUACCUUAACUGAUCAAUGUACUUUGUAAUUCUCCGCACCCUUGAGAAUGUACUUUGUGAGAUCCACCCCUGCCUGCAAAACAUUGCUCUUAACUUCACCGCCUAUCUUAAAACUUGUAAGAACUAAUGAUAAUCCACCACAUUUUGCUGACUCUCUUUUCGGACUCAGCCUACCUGCACCCAGGUGAAA
rnacentral:lncRNA from 1 species